GGCCGCUUAGCUCAGGUGGUUGGAGCGUGGUGCUAAUAAUGCCAAGGUCUUGGGUUUGAUCCCCGUACAGGCCA
rfam:Larimichthys crocea isolate SSNF unplaced genomic scaffold scaffold385, whole genome shotgun sequence.